GACGAACGCUGGCGGCGUGCUUAACACAUGCAAGUCGAACGAUGAAGCCGGAGCUUGCUCUGGUGAAUUAGUGGCGAACGGGUGAGUAACACGUGAGUAACCUGCCCUUGACUCUGGGAUAACUGCGGGAAACUGUAGCUAAUACCGGAUACGACCCUCGGAGGCAUCUCCUGGGGGUGGAAAGAAUUUCGGUCAAGGAUGGACUCGCGGCCUAUCAGCUAGUUGGGGCGGUAAAGUCUCACCAAGGCGACGACGGGUAGCCGGCCUGAGAGGGUGACCUGCCACGCUGUGACUGAGACACGGCCCAGCCUCCUACGGGAGGCAGCAGUGGGGAAUAUUGCAAAAUGGGCGCAAGCCUGAUGCAGCAACGCCGCGAGAGGGAUGACUGCCUUCGGGUUGUAAACCUCUUUUAGUGGGGAAGAAGCGAAAGUGACGGUACCUGCAGAAAAAGCACCGGCUAACUACGUGCCAGCAGCCGCCGUAA
rnacentral:rRNA from 1 species